GACGAACGCUGGCGGCGUGCCUAACACGUGCAAGUCGAACGGAGCUUUGCUUUGAACGGCGAGAAGCUUGCUUCUCAAAGUUCUGUGUGAAGCUUAGUGGCGGACGGGUGAGUAACGCGUGAGUAACCUGCCGUUCAGAGGGGGACAACAGUUGGAAACGACUGCUAAUACCGCAUAACGUACCGAGAAGGCAUCUUCUUGGUACCAAAGAUUUAUCGCUGAAUGAUGGACUCGCGUCUGAUUAGAUAGCUGGUGAGGUAACGGCUCACCAAGUCGACGAUCAGUAGCCGGACUGAGAGGUUGAACGGCCACAUUGGGACUGAGACACGGCCAG
rnacentral:rRNA from 1 species